rnacentral:lncRNA from 1 species
GGAAACCAGGUGAGGGGAAUAAGUUGAUUGCAGGCAGUGAGGAUGAACCAGGAUCUGAAAUGAUAAGAGAAUUACUGACAAGGUAAAACCAAAUGAAAACAAACUAACAGUGGGUGGAACGCGUGACACAGACUGUUGGUUCCAAUAUACACCAUUCUUCUGGAUGCAAAACAUGUUGCCAUGGACUCUUCUGCCAGAAACCCUGCUGUGAACACUGGUGUUGCAGCUCUCACUCUGGAACAUUUUCAAAAUGAGCUUCAGAAACCAGUCCAUUUAGGUGCACCAGUUCCAGGUUCCUGGUGUUGUGCCUGCUGGCUCACUACCAUGGCUUACUGGAACAUCCAAAUGGAGGGAAGCCAUCAUUAAAAGUGUUAGUUCCACCUGUGCGUUCCUUGCUAUGGCAAGUCAAAAUGCAGCGAAAAAGGCUCUCCCCUCGUGUGGUCCUCGGGUCAUUCUGACCCCAAAUUAAAUCUAUUGCCAUCAAAAUAUGUUUUUUAUUCAUGAAAUGGUCUGAAAAUAAUAUUUGUUGUCCAAUACUAU